rnacentral:rRNA from 1 species
GAUGAACGCUGGCGGCGUGCCUAAUACAUGCAGGUCGAGCGAACGGACGAGAAGCUUGCUUCUCUGAUGUUAGCGGCGGACGGGUGAGUAACACGUGGAUAACCUACCUAUAAGACUGGGAUAACUUCGGGAAACCGGAGCUAAUACCGGAUGAUAUUUUGAACCGCAUGGUUCAAAAGUGAAAGACGGUCUUGCUGUCACUUAUAGAUGGAUCCGCGCUGCAUUAGCUAGUUGGUAAGGUAACGGCUUACCAAGGCAACGAUGCAUAACCGACCUGAGAGGGUGAUCGGCCACACUGGAACUGAGACACGGUCCAGACUCCUACGGGAGGCAGCAGUAGGGAAUCUUCCGCAAUGGGCGAAAGCCUGACGGAGCAACGCCGCGUGAGUGAUGAAGGUCUUCGGAUCGUAAAACUCUGUUAUUAGGGAAGAACAUAUGUGUAAGUAACUGUGCACAUCUUGACGGUACCUAAGCAGAAAGCCACGGCUAACUACGU